rnacentral:rRNA from 1 species
GACGAACCGUGCGAACGUUAUUCGGAAUCACUGGGCUUAAAGCGCGUGUAGGCGGAUGGGAACGUCGGUAGUUGAAAGCCCCCGGCUCAACCGGGGAAGUGGUGCCGAAACGACCCGUCUGGAGGGACGUAGGGGGACCUGGAACUUCCGGUGGAGCGGUGAAAUGCGUUGAGAUCGGAAGGAACGCCCGUGGCGAAAGCGAGGUCCUGGACGUCUACUGACGCUGAGACGCG